AGGGGCUUUUGGGGGCAGAUGUG
rnacentral:miRNA from 15 species